UACGUAGGGGGCAAGCGUUGUCCGGAAUCAUUGGGCGUAAAGCGCACGUAGGCGGAUUGCUAAGUCAGGGGUGAAAUCCUGGAGCUCAACUCCAGAACUGCCUUUGAUACUGGCGGCCUUGAGUCCGGGAGAGGUGAGUGGAACUGCGAGUGUAGAGGUGAAAUUCGUAGAUAUUCGCAAGAACACCAGUGGCGAAGGCGGCUCACUGGCCCGGUACUGACGCUGAGGUGCGAAAGCGUGGGGAGCAAACGGG
rnacentral:rRNA from 1 species